GUGGAUUAGAUACCCGGGUAGUCCACGCCCUAAACGAUGUCAACUAGUUGUUGGUAGAGUAAAAUCUAUGAGUAACGCAGCUAACGCGUGAAGUUGACCGCCUGGGGAGUACGAUCGCAAGAUUAAAACUCAAAUGAAUUGACGGGGGCCCGCACAAGCGGUGGAUUAUGUGGAUUAAUUCGAUGCAACGCGAAAAACCUUACCUGGCCUUGACAUGUACGGAACUUUCCAGAGAUGGAUUGGUGCUCGAAAGAGAGCCGUAACACAGGUGCUGCACGGCCGUCGACAACU
rnacentral:rRNA from 1 species